AUUGAACGCUGGCGGCAUGCUUUACACAUGCAAGUCGAACGGUAACAGGCCGCAAGGUGCUGACGAGUGGCGAACGGGUGAGUAAUGCAUCGGAACGUGCCCAGUCGUGGGGGAUAACUACUCGAAAGAGUAGCUAAUACCGCAUACGACCUAUGGAUGAAAGCGGGGGACCGUAAGGCCUCGCGCGAUUGGAGCGGCCGAUGUCAGAUUAGGUAGUUGGUGGGGUAAAGGCUCACCAAGCCAACGAUCUGUAGCUGGUCUGAGAGGACGACCAGCCACACUGGAACUGAGACACGGCCCAGACUCCUACGGGAGGCAGCAGUGGGGAAUUUUGGACAAUGGGCGCAAGCCUGAUCCAGCAAUGCCGCGUGGAGGAAGAAGGCCUUCGGGUUGUAAACUGCUUUUGUACGGAACGAAACGGCUCUGGUUAAUACCCGGGGCUAAUGACGGUACCGUAAGAAUAAGCACCGGCUAACUACGUG
rnacentral:rRNA from 1 species